rnacentral:lncRNA from 1 species
UAGAUGGUUUACUUUGUGUCUAUAUCCAUCCCUUUGGAUAUUCUUUUUAUUUGUGGACGAUAAAGAUUAUGGACUCCCAACAAUCUUGGAUGAUGAUGCUCUUUAUUCCUCAAGAUAAUAUUUUGGCAUAUGGUGGCACUCUUAAUUUGGAUACGACUUGGUAUAUCUCCCUGUUGUACUUUUUGAAAGUGGUGAUGUUUUGUUCGAGGCAGCCACACUUGAGAAACAGGACAAUAUGAUUUACAAGAAAUAAAAAAAAUUCGAGCCUUGUUUUGGUCGUGAAACAACAAUAGGAGCAAGAAGUUUUAUUUAUACAGAGACCUUAAUUUCACCCAACGGAUAUAUGACUCCGACUGCUCUGAGUGUGGAGUCCAUCCCUUUAAUUAAGGAAGAUUUUUCUUCCUUGUUGAUUAUGGCAGCC